UCCUACGGGAGGCAGCAGUCGAAUAUUGCACAAUGGCGCAAGCCUGAUGCAGCCAUGCCGCGUGUAUGAAGAAGGCCUUCGGGUUGUAAGUACUUUCAGCGAGGAGAAGACGCUGUGGCUAAUACUGCAGCGAUGACGUACUCGCAGAGAGCCGUCCA
rnacentral:rRNA from 1 species